GUUGCUUGCCUGGCAUUUGAGUUGGGUGGGUGGCUAUUAGUUUGAUGGCUUCGGGGAUGUCUACCGUAAAGGUGCAUGAGUGGUGUUUGGUUUGUUACGGGUGGUUGGCUCUUUGCUUGCGCAACAACUUCCACCUGACAUACCUCUUCAGUCUUGUGUCAAUGCUUGUUUUGCUUUGAUUUCAUGGUGGGUUUCCUGUGUUGCAUGCCUAACUGAUGGUAUCAUUCGAAUAAUCGAUGUCCAUUUUCAUCUUGUGUCGCACAUGUGAUAUGAGAUGAACCUUGAAGCAGGCUUUGUGUUCCACUCUUUUGAUGCACAUGCAUUGAUUUUGUGGCCCAUUGAGUGUUGCUUUGUCUCAUGAAUAUGGAACCUUUUGUGGGCAUGGAUCUUUACUUGUUCCUUGUUUGCCCUGGUUUAGCUUUUCUGACGCGAUGGUCUAUCAUGUCUUAACGUGGUAGGCUAUAUCGAAAA
rnacentral:misc_RNA from 1 species